ACCGCCAGAGUGAGAGAGUCUAUACUAAACAUGCAACAAUACAAAGGAGAUUGGCAUGGCCUUUGCGCAAGCAUGACACGCAAAUUUGUGAAGCGUUUCAUGUCUUC